rnacentral:rRNA from 1 species
GACGAACGCUGGCGGCGUGCCUAACACAUGCAAGUCGAACGGAGAUAUGAUUUCGGUUGUAUCUUAGUGGCGAACGGGUGAGUAACGCGUGAACAACCUGACUCUAAGAGGGGGAUAACACUCGGAAACGGGUGCUAAAUACCGCAUAAGACCACGACCUGGCAUCAGGAUGAGGUCAAAGGAGCAAUCCGCUGAGAGAGGGGUUCGCGUCCAUUAGAUAGAUGGCGGGGUAACGGCCCACCAUGUCAACGAUGGGUAGCCGAGCUGAGAGGCUGAUCGGCCACACUGGAACUGAGACACGGUCCAGACUCCUACGGGAGGCAGCAGUGGGGAAUAUUGGGCAAAUGGGCGCAAGCCUGACCCAGCAACGCCGCGUGAGGGAAG